rnacentral:lncRNA from 1 species
CAGACAGCUAUAAGUGAAGAAAUACACCAGGGGAGCAGAAUUAUGUUCUCUUUUCGAAAGUAGAGAUGUUUACAAAGACAGGCUUCUGACACCAGCUGCCUGGUCUGCAUCACCAAUGAGCUGGCACGGGGCUGCCAGAGAAGGUGAGCACCAUUAGCCCCAUUCCUCCUGCUCACCUGGAAGGGGCAGCAGCAGCUCCUGCUCGUUAAUCCUCCAUCCUGUAUUAAUUGACCUUUUACAGGGGCUACUUGAGACCUGCAAGCUCUGAGGUCAUUAGUUCUCAAAGUGCUCUCUGUUUUUCUGUAGCAUCUAUUUGCAUGGCAUUUGUGGUUUUAACAUGCUUUAAAAUCAUUUCUCUCCUGAGGCCUUAUGGUGCUAUUUUGCUUUUCUGUUAAGCCAUCAGAAGGGGAUGAUACCGAUGCUAACUUUCCUCCAAGCUUGUUCUAAGUACAGACGUCUGGGGGCAAAAGGGUGAAGUGAGCAUAGGAAAACCAAGCCCAGCUGACUUUUGGGGAACAGAAAAACAUCAUUCUGAAGAGUGGUACCACAUCCAAGUGUUUAUAGAUAUGAGCAUAGACAUGGAUGAGAAAUGGACACGAUAUUAACUUCACUUCAGCGAGGCCUGGCCUGCACCUUGUCAACUGCAGGUUUUUGGACAUCAGUGGCAUAAAAAGGUCUUACAAGGAAAGAGGGAAGCAGAAGAGUCAGACUUAGAGAAGAAGGUGUGAUGAUGGAGGUCAGAGUGAUGCAAGGAAGACGCCAGGAGCCAACGAAUGCAGGCAGCCAAUAGAAGAUAGAAAAAACAAGGAAACGGAUUCUCCUUCCGAGCCUCCAGAAAAGAAUGUAGCCCUGUUGACACUUUGAGUUUAGGACUCCUGACUUCUAUAGAUGCAGGAGAAUAAAUUUGUGUUGUUUUAAGCCACUGAGUCUGUGAUAAUUUUUUGCAG